rnacentral:lncRNA from 1 species
AGGAAUGUCGUCCACAUAAACAGCCUCUCCUGUAUAUUUGGCUAGAUAAAUAAGGUAUGCAGUUGGAUUUACAUAAACUUGCAACAUUUAAUUAAUAGAAAUAAUAGAAAGCCAACAAAAGAAAUUUCACGGUUAUGUACUCUACAAAAUUUAACCAACAUCAACUAAAUGACAGUUCACUGUCUGCUAUUUGUUCAUGGAAUUCAUAAAUGAGAGAGAGAGACACACUCACACAGAGAGAUGAUGUUGUCAAUAUAUGAAGUUCAGUCAUAAAUUAGGAUGAAAGAAAUAUAAAAUAUUUAGCAUGUUAGCAAAUGUCAUUUGAACUUCAAACCCCUCCAUGAUUUUAGGCUUCUUGUACAACAGUUCAUGUUCCAAAUCAGCUAAUUAUUUCCUUGUCCAUCCCCAGUAGCAGAAGAAAGUGGAAGAUAAAUACUUCUUAUUAGGGAAUCUUUUCUUCCAGAAGUAUUUCCUUCUUCGCCUUCUUUUUCCCAGACAUACAAAAUGUUUCAUAAGUAAUAGGUCAAAGUGACAUCUCACGAACCAGAGGCUUGGAUGGAAGCUUCCAACUUUGUGAUUGGCUGCCCAACUGGAUCAUAUUCUUUACUUGACUUCAAAACCUGAUGACCUGACAUUAGAAAUGUUAAAUGUUUCCCAUCAUCAAACUGUCCAUAAGUCUGUUUUCCAUUAGAAUCCUUGGGCAUCAAAGAAUUCUUGCCCCAACCAAACCAUCCAUUAGAAAUGUCAGCAGUCUCAGUCAAGGAACUAAAGAACUUGAAAAGAAAACCAACAGCCAAACUUAACCGGUAACCAGGAUCUGUAAUAUCAUCAUCAGGUGCAAUGGUGCCUCGUAACAAUUUGACAACUUCAUAUAGAACUUCAUUAGUCAACAAUUUCCCAGUCAAAAAUUCUUCAGAUUUCCAUGCCCUGAUUACUUGCCUUUUCCCGCAAGCACCAAAAGCCAAUUUACAGUGGUUUAUCAUAAGUUUAUCAGAACUUCUACAGGGAGAAACCUCCACCAUGAAAGCAGCAUUUAGAUAAGCCAAUGCAUUUCCAGAGGGUCUUGAUGCAGCACGAUAUGUUUCAAAGAGCAACUUGCCAUUGAAUCUAGAAGAAAUAUCUAUACUUGGAGAACACUGUGGAAUUUUAACGCUCAAAAGAACACUGUUGGAAUCCAGUGGAGGCCUUUCAAGAAACUCUUCCAACCUAAGCUUUUCACACCUCAGACCGUUCAUUAUUUCUACCACUGUACCCACAACAAGCAGUAUCGUAGUAAUAUCUGAAGGAAACUGCUUCCUCUGUGCCAUUACUAAAUUUCCUCCUAUGCUGGCUGAAUUCCUUAUGAACCUUGUAGCAACCUUCUCCAUGUGAUCUGCAAUUUUUUUGAACACAACGGCACCUUGAGUGGGAUGCUCACCUCCAUUCCCUUCCUUCAAAGCUUCAAUAACUUUAGAAAUUGUCACAGCUGCUCCAAUUUCAAUCCCCGUCUUAUCUCUCUUAAUCCUUGAUAGCUCAGGAAUAUAUCUUAUAUCUAUGUAUUUAUCAUAAUCUCCUAGUUCCUUAAAAUACCCCAUACCUGUAUUACCCACAACUAACUUCAUUGAGGUGCCAUUAUCAGCCUUACUGGAUUCCAAUAUGCUUUGGAGAUUCUUGACGCUAACAGGAGUGUGCCAACAAAAUCUUCCGUGGUCUAGAAUCACAGUGGACCUUGUUUCCCUCUUGAGAAAUUCUGGGAAUGUGCAAGUCUGAUCAUUAUUUUUAUAUAAAGGUAACCUGCUUAGCUUUAUUUCCUUUGUUUCUCCUUUUUUCCAGAAGGAGUUAAACCCCAAAUCCUCGAUAUCAACAUCUGAAGCAAAACUUUUACAGACAUCAACAAUUGGUCGAUAACCAGUACAACGGCAAAGAUUUCCAGUAAUUGCAUUUUCAGCUUCCGACACUGUCAGUUUGGAGAACCCUGGGAAAGGCUGUGGCCGGUUGGUCUUAUCAGCAUUUACAAGAGCUGC